UACGUAGGGGGCGAGCGUUGUCCGGAGUUACUGGGCGUAAAGGGCAUGCAGGCGGUCAGGCGCGUGUGCUGUGACAGCGGAUGGCUUCACUAUCCGAGCAUAGGACAAACGGGCUGACUUGAGAGCUCGAGAGGGACACGGAAUUCCGGGUGGAGUGGUGAAAUGCGUAGAGAUCCGGAGGAACACCGAAGGCGAAGGCAGUGUCCUGGCGAGCGACUGACGCUGAGGUGCGAAAGCCAGGGGAGCGAACGGG
rnacentral:rRNA from 1 species